UCGCGGGAUAGAGUAGAGGUUAUCUCGUUGGGCUCAUAACCCAAAGAUCGGAGGUUCGAAUCCUUCUCCCGCUAU
rnacentral:tRNA from 1 species